AUGUUGCCUAGGGUUGCGCCGUCUCCGGCCACCGCCGCCGCCGCAGCGGUUGGCCAGCUCUCCGGGGCGGGGCUCACCGCCGGUUCGGUGAGGUUGCCGGGGGCCCUGCCGUCUGCGGCAGGGUCGGCGGUCUGCUGCAGGGCCGCGGCGAAGGGGAAGGAGGUGCUCAGCGGUGUGAUGUUCCAGCCGUUCGAGGAGCUCAAGGGGGAGCUCUCGCUCGUGCCGCAGGGCAAGGACCAGUCGCUCGCCAGGCACAAGUUCGUCGACGAGUGCGAGGCCGCCCUCAACGAGCAGAUCAAUGUGGAGUACAAUGCCUCGUACGCGUAUCACUCCCUCUUUGCAUACUUCGACCGCGACAACGUUGCUCUCAAGGGAUUUGCCAAGUUCUUCAAGGAGUCAAGCGAUGAGGAGAGAGGACACGCCGAGAAGCUCAUGGAGUACCAGAACAAACGUGGAGGGAGGGUGAGGCUCCAGUCAAUCGUCACACCCUUAACAGAGUUCGACCAUCCUGAGAAAGGCGAUGCCCUGUAUGCAAUGGAAUUGGCUCUAGCUCUUGAAAAGCUGGUGAAUGAGAAACUGCACAACCUGCACAGUGUAGCUACAAGGUGCAAUGAUCCUCAGCUGACCGACUUUGUUGAGAGUGAAUUCCUUCAGGAGCAGGUUGACGCCAUCAAGAAGAUCUCUGAGUAUGUGUCGCAGCUGAGAAGAGUCGGCAAAGGCCACGGAGUGUGGCACUUCGAUCAGAUGCUGCUUGAGGAGGCAGCUUGA
rnacentral:rRNA from 1 species